AAGACUAUAGACCUGCGGAGUACCUGCGGAAGGAUCAUUACAGAGUUGCAAAACUCCCAAACCAUUGUGAACGUUACCUUCUCGUUGCUUCGGCGGGCGGCCCGGGUCCUUCCCGGCGCCCCCCGGCCCCUCGCGGGCGCCCGCCGGAGGUAAACCAAACUCUUGAAUUGUAUGGCCUCUCUGAGUCUUCUGUACUGAAUAAGUCAAAACUUUCAGCAAUGGAUCUCUAGAUCGGAAGAG
rnacentral:misc_RNA from 1 species